CUGAUGGGCCAUGACUUGUUCAGGGGUGGCUCGUGGGCUGGUAAAAUGGUCUUCAUGGGCCGCAUGUUGCCGACCCCUGAUCUAAACAAAAUCAUAAACAGCCAAGCAAAGGCUGAAGCACCACAGUGUUUGAGGCCUCUAUUGCUGCUAGGGUUGUGAACAGCGCUUUCCUCUGCUCCAUCCCUGCUCCCUGAGUCACGGGGGGAAAGAGGACUUCAUAAAUGCUGCCUCUCCCUCCCACCUCUGCUUUGUGACACGUAGACUGCUAGAUUCCCACCCUUCUAUGCCCACCCAGGGCAUAUAACCCAGACGCCCUGACAACAGACACUGCAGGAGCAGAGAAAGGGGUGGCUUCUAGUCACCCUCCCUCCUGACCCAGAACCUAGGGAACAUGGAGGAAGGGCCCCGAUUCAGGGAUAUACCUGCAUUCAAUGCAGAAGACCCCGGGGUCAGACUCCAACACCAUCUCAAGCAUCCUGUGCCGGCUACCUGCGCUGCCAGAAGGCCCCAUCCUUCGGGCUGCUAGAGGCCUGCCAGCGCACGCUCCUGCACACCUCCAUCAGCAUCAUCUCCAUCAGCUGUGCCUACAGCUCCUUCAUGCUGGUGCCCAGUGGGAACGCUACCACUGUCCGGAAGGGCUCGUCCACGAUCUGCUCCAUCCUUCUAGCGCUCUGCAUCGAGAACGGCAGCUCAUGGGCUGGUAAAACAGUCUUCGUGGGCCACACGUUGCCAACCCCUGAUCUACAGGCCUCAAACACUGUGGUGGUUCAGCCUUUGCUUGGCAGUUUAUGAUUUCUUUUAGAUAAUGAGAAUGACAGCAUAAUCACUUCAACAUUGCCCUCUGCUGGCAUUCAGGUGCAUAGACACUUUGUUUGGUCACCGUUGUUACUGUGAGACUCGAUGCCCUCUUACUUGUAUUUGUGCGUUGGCGCAUUAGUGCAAAUUCACUGAAGGAAUUAUUUGGCAGAUAGAUAUUCUUACAAAAGCAAGAGGUUUGCUAGAGGGCCGGUGUUCUAUAGUGUCUGGGUGUGAAUCUGGAGGCCUCUCACGUUCCAGUCUCAUGCCUGUUAUGAACUUUCCUGGUGGCAAAUUAGGCAAGUCAUUAAUACUGAUUUAUUUAACAGAGUUGUUCUUGGGAGUACUGACUGAGUAUGUAUAUGAAGUGCUUUGAACAGUCA